rnacentral:misc_RNA from 1 species
CAAAAACUUGAUGUGUCCCAACCGCAAGUGCGCGAGUCGUUCAAGUAGUAUAGAAACACAUAUCGUUCCCAGGGAGAGUUAAAAUAAAAUAUGCUAAAAUUGUAUUUUAAUCAAAUAAAUAAAAGAAAUUUGGGAAUUUGAAGCAUAAGGUAUGAAAAUGCAAAACUAAAUUCAAACAAUGACUAAUUUAAUAAUUCGCAAAAUAAAGAAAUUGAUAAUAAUGAAAAUUAAUAAAAUGAGAUUAAACUAAACACUCAAAAGUAAAAUUCCAAGCAAUAAUUGAUGAAAGACGAUUCUGGAGUUAAGGGUUCAUAUUUAAGUUAUUUUGAGAUUUUCCCUAGCUAGCCCAAUCCAUGAAAUUUAUGGGUUUAAAGGAAAUUAAUUCUAAAAUCCCUUGAAAACUCUUUCGAGUGAGACAAAGAGUACCUUAAUUAACUUAAUCCUACUUU